rnacentral:lncRNA from 1 species
AUUGUCCUUAUACGUGCACAAUUCGUGAAUGAUUCAUUAAGUGGUCAAGAUAUGUGAAAAUAGUUGGUCGUUACACAGCGAAUCUUGAUUAGCCAUAAAUCAUGAAUACCAAGUUUUUAUUCUCAAAAAGACACUACCAUCAGACGUUAGAAUUUUCCUACAAAGUUUUCAACGAAAUUCUUGCAACCAAGCAAUUCCAACGAGAAUUGUUAGAACCGUAGCAACGCAAAAUUUUGCGGUUCUAAAGGAGUACGAUGCAAUCUUUUUCAAGAAUAUUAUAUGAAUUUUUCCCUACUCCAGGUAUGUUAAGGAUAUCACUUCUUUCUUUUUGGAAUGAUCCAUACGACACAAGCAAAACGAGCAAAUGCACAACUUUCAUAAAUUACUCUAUUUGUAGAAACGAUAGAGAUGUGUAUAUUCUUAUUCUCCCAUAUGUCAUAUUAUUCUAUCAUAUGUUCAUGGGUUUCAAAAAUACGUAAGUUGGUAAAGUUUAUUUCAUGAUAUUAAUCAGAGGCAUAAUGGUCUUAUGACGUACUGAGAGAUUUUAUUAACGUAUUUCAUAUAUGGGUGUUUAACGGGUGGGCCGGACUGGGUAGGGAAAUUUAGUACCCGUACGGGUUAUGGUCCGGGCCGGUUAAGGGUUGGGACAUACCGGGUUUAACGGGUUCGGGUUCAUCCGGGUAAAAAUUGAACCGUAAGGGUUACGUGUUCAUGGGGCCGGGCCGGGUUUGUGUUAUUUUUAAUUUAUUUUUUUUUGUAUUUUGUAUAACUAUUGUAAGUUAUAUUAAUAUAAAGUAAAAAUAUAAAUAAUACAAUGAAGAUGGGAAAAAAUUGCAUUUAUAAAGUGCUACAUUUAUUUCAAAAUUCAAACUUACAAAUUGAAAGGUUUACAUAUAACAAGUAAAUUAACCAAAAAAGAGUAAAUUCAAAGGUUUUGCAUUGCCUUAGUAAGUUCUUCAUAAUCGAUAUGAACUGAGUGACCUUCUUCUGGAGUGUUAAAUACGGGUGGGUUACCAUGUGUUAAUAUAUCUCCAAGUUCCUCGUAUUUGGCGUGAAAGGAAUUCAUCAGAUUAGCAAAAAGAACUACGAUGAUGACACGACCUGCAGAGAAAUUUCAAUACACAUGCACAUACAAGGGAGAUCAAAAAAUAAAUGGCAGUCAAUAUUGAAAGGCUUGAAUCAUUAUCCAUAUGCUAGAAUGAUGGCUCAAUUUGUUAGAAGUGUAAUUAGUAUAGUUUUAUCUUGUUUUCUUAUUUUUGGAGGUGGAUAGUCCGCAUCUGCCUGGUUCUGUAAAAGACAGUUUUUGAUGAAAUGGAAAGUUUGUUUAAUCAAAAAAAAAAUGAAAAAAAGUGAAUUUAGUUUCAAGCUCUGAGUCAGAAUUAAUAACCUCAAUUUCAAAAGUCACCACUUAAUUCCAGUUCUUCGACACUAAUUCACUUGUUUUUGCUGAACCGCCAAUUUUUGUGAUGCAACAAUUAACUACGGACGGGAGCGUGGAAUGCACCUUUUCAAAAUAACUACCUACUAUAGUUUGUAAUAUACUUAGAACUCUAAGCAAUCAAAAUAUUGUAUGUGACACUCCAAUUAACACUGUCUGCCUGUCUAUGGGGAUACCUAACCCUAAUGUCUUCACAAGUGACACUACGGGUUGUAAUAUGUUAAACUCUUUUUAGUAAGUAGUAUAUAAAUCCUAUUAGUGCUAAAAAAAAUCACUUGUAUUGAUACAAAUCUAGCUAAAGAUUGUCAAAUGAACUAAUCUAGUCACAAUCUAAGUAUUUGAAGAAUUAAUCCAAAAUGUCAAUCAACUAAUUCAAUCAAAUUCUUUGACAACAAUCUCAAACCUAGAUUCAACUAUCAAAUUAAUAUGAAAAGUACAACAAAAGUAUAAAAAGAAUAACAAUUAGUUGCCCCAAAUAAAUUAAAAAGUGCAUACUAAUCCUACAACCCUAAAUGGGAAAAAAGAAGAAAAAAAUUGAGGGAAAGAGAGAAGGGUGUCACCGGAAGCCGGAGAGAUGAGUGUCGCCGAAGAACGGGAGGCCGAAGCACUGAGCUGCCUGGGGGAGGGGGUUUUCCAGAGAGAGAGAAAAGAGAAAAGGAAGAUAAGUGAGAAAGAAAAAAGAAAGGGGUCCGAGGGGAUUUUUAAAAAAAUCCGACCGAAUUGGUCGGAAAUUUAAAUACGUUUAAAAACUUCGACCGAUUCGGUGGCAAACCCAGUCAACAAAGUCAGGCCUUAUUUUAAUGAAUAUCUGAGAUGGAAUCUGUUGCAGCUUUUUUUUUCUAUUUAUCCGACCGUUCGGACGCUAACGUACUAAAACGAUAUUUCCGCCAAAAUUUGUGACGGAAUAUCUGCCGUAAACAUUAAUAAAAUUUGAAAAAUAUUAUUUUAGGCCAUUUUCG